rnacentral:rRNA from 1 species
UGGGGAAUUUUGGACAAUGGGCGAAAGCCUGAUCCAGCAAUGCCGCGUGUGUGAAGAAGGCCUUCGGGUUGUAAAGCACUUUUGUCCGGAAAGAAAUCCUUGGCUCUAAUACAGUCGGGGGAUGACGGUACCGGAAGAAUAAGCACCGGCUAACUACGUGCCAGCAGCCGCGGUAAUACGUAGGGUGCAAGCGUUAAUCGGAAUUACUGGGCGUAAAGCGUGCGCAGGCGGUUUGCUAAGACCGAUGUGAAAUCCCCGGGCUCAACCUGGGAACUGCAUUGGUGACUGGCAGGCUAGAGUAUGGCAGAGGGGGGUAGAAUUCCACGUGUAGCAGUGAAAUGCGUAGAGAUGUGGAGGAAUACCGAUGGCGAAGGCAGCCCCCUGGGCCAAAUACUGACGCUCAUGCACGAAAGCGUGGGGAGCAAACAGGAUUAGAUACCCUGGUAGUCCACGCCCUAAACGAUGUCAACUAGUUGUUGGGGAUUCAUUUCCUUAGUAACGUAGCUAAUCGCGUGAAGUUG